rnacentral:ncRNA from 2 species
AAAAACUUGUCGGGGUGCCCGUUUGCAUUUUCAAAUGUGGCUGAGAUGAAACCCGUUGAACCUGAAGAGGUUAAGACCUCCGUAGGAAACAAGCCGGUAUUUUCG